GACAGAGGGUGCAAACGUUGUUCGGAAUUACUGGGCGUAAAGCGAGUGUAGGCGGUCUCGUAAGUCGGGGGUGAAAGCCCUCAGCUCAACUGAGGAAGUGCGCCCGAAACUGCAGAGCUUGAGUGCCGGAGAGGGUGGCGGAAUUCCCCAAGUAGAGGUGAAAUUCGUAGAUAUGGGGAGGAACACCGGUGGCGAAGGCGGCCACCUGGACGGUAACUGACGCUGAGACGCGAAAGCGUGGGUAGCAAACAGG
rnacentral:rRNA from 1 species